ACCGAGCUUGGUGCGAUGGGAAAAUACGCUCAUGAGUUCGAGCAGAGAGGUGUGAAGCUCCUUGGUUUGUCUUGUGACGACAUACAGUCGCACAAAGAUUGGAUCCCCGACAUUGAGGCAUUUACUGUAAGAUUUAAUUUCAUGCAUGCAUGAUGCAUAUAAUAUAAAACUAAUUAACAUUUUGACAUACCUAUUACGUUCUCGUUUUGAUUAAUUGCAAGUAACAUUGUGUUCUUCUUUUAUUAUGACAUAAAAUUGAUAUAGCCUGGAAGCAAAGUGACAUACCCAAUAAUCGCUGAUCCGAACAAAGAGAUCAUCCCUCAGCUUAACAUGAUUGAUCCUAUUGAGAACGGUCCCUCUCGUGCCCUUCAUGUAGUUGGUCCUGAUUGCAAGGUAAAUGAUCAUAUGUCAUAAUUUCAUUCUCAUUUAUUUUUGCAUGUAUAUAUGAUUAAUUAUGAUUUUUUUUUAUAGAUAAAGUUGAGUUUCCUGUAUCCGUCCACCACGGGACGUAACAUGGACGAAGUGCUGAGGGCUUUAGACUCGUUGUUGAUGGCGGCCAAAC
rnacentral:lncRNA from 1 species